AAAAAUAAGGAACGAGAAACUCAGCCUCCCAUGCAGAAAUCGUCACGCAAUCUUUCCUUACAUCCUUCUGAUACUGGCUUGUCUUCGCGAAGGAAUAUUAGAAGGAAGUUUUCUGCAGGCCCGCUCGUGGCUGACAAGGCCGAUCCAAGACAGGCGAGACAGAAUAUGCAUGUAAGGUAGACAAGGUAGACGGAAAAUGGCGGGAAACCCAGGUUUUAGCGAAUAGAAUGCUGAACGGUAAACACGCGACACUACAAGUCUUACCAACCAGUCAACGAUGGCAGAGAAGGAUUUGUCUUUUUCUGAUUUUCCGACAUGACUAUCACAGUACCCGAAACAAUCGUGCUGUCAACAGAGGGGACUGAAAAGGAAGACCUUAAGGAACAAUCUAGGACCAGGUUGAACACUUGUGUCAGAAAAGAAGACACCCUCUAGUAGCAAUGCCAGAGGCAGUGGAGGGAGCAGGUAGAACUGUAGGCGAAGCUGGUGUUCCCGGCCGUGUUGAAGGCAAGAUAACUAUUGUU